rfam:Edhazardia aedis TSNM 41457 supercont1.96, whole genome shotgun sequence.
GCCUCCGUGGCGCAAUAGGUUAGCGCGUUCGGCUGUUAACCGGAAGGUUGUCGGUUCGAGCCCGACCAGAGGCG